UGAAAUGCAUAGAUACCAUAAAGAACACCGAUAGCGAAGGCAGCUCACUAGACUAUAACUGACGCUGAUGCGCGAAAGCGUGGGGAGCGAACAGGAUUAGAUACCCUGGUAGUCCACGCUGUAAACGAUGAUCACUCGCUGUUGGUCUGCAUAGGUCAGCGGCUUAGCGAAAGCGUUAAGUGAUCCACCUGGGGAGUACGUCCGCAAGGAUGAAACUCAAAGGAAUUGACGGGGGUCCGCACAAGCGGUUGAGCAUGUGGUUUAAUUCGAUGAUACGCGAGGAACCUUACCUGGGCUAGAAUGCCUUUGCUAUCCUGAGAGAUCAGGAGUUCUUCGGACAAAGUGCAAGGUGCUGCAUGGCUGUCGUCAGCUCGUGCCGUGAGGUGUUGGGUUAAGUCCCGCAACGAGCGCAACCCUUAUACUUAGUUGCCAUCAGUUAAAGCUGGGGACUCUAGGUAGACUGCCUGCGCAAGCAGAGAGGAAGGAGGGGAUGACGUCAAGUCAUCAUGGCCCUUACGCCCAGGGCUACACACGUGCUACAAUGGCGCAUACAGAGGGUAGCUACACGGUAACGUGAUGCCAAUCUCAAAAAGUGCGUCUCAGUUCGGAUU
rnacentral:rRNA from 1 species